AUUGAACGCUGGCGGCAUGCCUUACACAUGCAAGUCGAACGGCAGCGGGCCUUCGGGUGCCGGCGAGUGGCGAACGGGUGAGUAAUGCAUCGGAACGUGCCAUUGAGUGGGGGAUAACGUAGCGAAAGUUACGCUAAUACCGCAUAUUCUGUGAGCAGGAAAGCAGGGGACCGCAAGGCCUUGCGCUCUUUGAGCGGCCGAUGUCAGAUUAGCUAGUUGGUGAGGUAAAGGCUUACCAAGGCGACGAUCUGUAGCGGGUCUGAGAGGAUGAUCCGCCACACUGGAACUGAGACACGGUCCAGACUCCUACGGGAGGCAGCAGUGGGGAAUUUUGGACAAUGGGCGCAAGCCUGAUCCAGCCAUGCCGCGUGAGUGAAGAAGGCCUCGGUUGGUUAAAGGACUCUUUCGGUCCGGGAACGAAAGUACGCAUGGGUUAAUACCCUAGUGUGGAUGACGGUACCGGAAGUAAGAAG
rnacentral:rRNA from 1 species